rnacentral:rRNA from 1 species
GACGAACGCUGGCGGCGUGCUUAACACAUGCAAGUCGAACGGAAAGACCCUGCUUUUGUGGGGUGCUCGAGUGGCGAACGGGUGAGUAACACGUGAGUAACCUGCCCUUGACUUUGGGAUAACUUCGGGAAACUGGGGCUAAUACCGGAUAGGAGCUCCUGCUGCAUGGUGGGGGUUGGAAAGUUUCGGCGGUUGGGGAUGGACUCGCGGCUUAUCAGCUUGUUGGUGGGGUAGUGGCUUACCAAGGCUUUGACGGGUAGCCGGCCUGAGAGGGUGACCGGCCACAUUGGGACUGAGAUACGGCCCAGACUCCUACGGGAGGCAGCAGUGGGGAAUAUUGCACAAUGGGCGGAAGCCUGAUGCAGCAACGCCGCGUGCGGGAUGACGGCCUUCGGGUUGUAAACCGCUUUCGCCUGUGACGAAGCGUGAGUGACGGUAAUGGGUAAAGAAGCACCGGCUAACUACGUG